rnacentral:rRNA from 1 species
GGUUAAGCGACUAAGCGUACACGGUGGAUGCCCUGGCAGUCAGAGGCGAUGAAGGACGUGCUAAUCUGCGAUAAGCGUCGGUAAGGUGAUAUGAACCGUUAUAACCGGCGAUUUCCGAAUGGGGAAACCCAGUGUGUUUCGACACACUAUCAUUAACUGAAUCCAUAGGUUAAUGAGGCGAACCGGGGGAACUGAAACAUCUAAGUACCCCGAGGAAAAGAAAUCAACCGAGAUUCCCCCAGUAGCGGCGAGCGAACGGGGAGCAGCCCAGAGCCUGAAUCAGUGUGUGUGUUAGUGGAAGCGUCUGGAAAGGCGCGCGAUACAGGGUGACAGCCCCGUACACAAAAAUGCACAUGCUGUGAGCUCGAUGAGUAGGGCGGGACACGUGGUAUCCUGUCUGAAUAUGGGGGGACCAUCCUCCAAGGCUAAAUACUCCUGACUGACCGAUAGUGAACCAGUACCGUGAGGGAAAGGCGAAAAGAACCCCGGCGAGGGGAGUGAAAAAGAACCUGAAACCGUGUACGUACAAGCAGUGGGAGCACGCUUAGGCGUGUGACUGCGUACCUUUUGUAUAAUGGGUCAGCGACUUAUAUUCUGUAGCAAGGUUAACCGAAUAGGGGAGCCGAAGGGAAACCGAGUCUUAACUGGGCGUUAAGUUGCAGGGUAUAGACCCGAAACCCGGUGAUCUAGCCAUGGGCAGGUUGAAGGUUGGGUAACACUAACUGGAGGACCGAACCGACUAAUGUUGAAAAAUUAGCGGAUGACUUGUGGCUGGGGGUGAAAGGCCAAUCAAACCGGGAGAUAGCUGGUUCUCCCCGAAAGCUAUUUAGGUAGCGCCUCGUGAAUUCAUCUCCGGGGGUAGAGCACUGUUUCGGCAAGGGGGUCAUCCCGACUUACCAACCCGAUGCAAACUGCGAAUACCGGAGAAUGUUAUCACGGGAGACACACGGCGGGUGCUAACGUCCGUCGUGAAGAGGGAAACAACCCAGACCGCCAGCUAAGGUCCCAAAGUCAUGGUUAAGUGGGAAACGAUGUGGGAAGGCCCAGACAGCCAGGAUGUUGGCUUAGAAGCAGCCAUCAUUUAAAGAAAGCGUAAUAGCUCACUGGUCGAGUCGGCCUGCGCGGAAGAUGUAACGGGGCUAAACCAUGCACCGAAGCUGCGGCAGCGACGCUUAUGCGUUGUUGGGUAGGGGAGCGUUCUGUAAGCCUGUGAAGGUGUGCUGUGAGGCAUGCUGGAGGUAUCAGAAGUGCGAAUGCUGACAUAAGUAACGAUAAAGCGGGUGAAAAGCCCGCUCGCCGGAAGACCAAGGGUUCCUGUCCAACGUUAAUCGGGGCAGGGUGAGUCGACCCCUAAGGCGAGGCCGAAAGGCGUAGUCGAUGGGAAACAGGUUAAUAUUCCUGUACUUGGUGUUACUGCGAAGGGGGGACGGAGAAGGCUAUGUUGGCCGGGCGACGGUUGUCCCGGUUUAAGCGUGUAGGCUGGUUUUCCAGGCAAAUCCGGAAAAUCAAGGCUGAGGCGUGAUGACGAGGUACUACGGUGCUGAAGCAACAAAUGCCCUGCUUCCAGGAAAAGCCUCUAAGCAUCAGGUAACAUCAAAUCGUACCCCAAACCGACACAGGUGGUCAGGUAGAGAAUACCAAGGCGCUUGAGAGAACUCGGGUGAAGGAACUAGGCAAAAUGGUGCCGUAACUUCGGGAGAAGGCACGCUGAUAUGUAGGUGAAGUCCCUCGCGGAUGGAGCUGAAAUCAGUCGAAGAUACCAGCUGGCUGCAACUGUUUAUUAAAAACACAGCACUGUGCAAACACGAAAGUGGACGUAUACGGUGUGACGCCUGCCCGGUGCCGGAAGGUUAAUUGAUGGGGU